CCAUUCAUUUAUUUUAAAAAUUUUUUCAGAAGGGUUUUGCAGUUUUUAUGCUUGUUUUUAUAAAUAAUAUUGGUUCAUAGCCAUGCUCAUUCAUUUACAUAUUAUCUACAGUGAUCUCAUGCUAUCCCAUUAGAGUUGAGUAGCUGCAACAGAAACCUUACAAUUCACAGAGCCCAAAAUACUCACUAUCUAGCUCUUUACAGGAAAAUUUUGCUGACCCCUCAUCUCAAGUUUAAAUUGUAGAGCAUCUUUUCUUCAGGCCUAUUUUCCAUCUCUUUCUCUUUGCUGGCUUUGGAAAAGAAGGCACCACCACCACCAACAACAACAAAAAAAGGAAUGAGAGCAUCUUAGCCUCGCAAUGAGUUAAAAAUUCUUCUUUGCGGGCAGUGGCCAGGGGGUCAGUAGGAACUUACUUUAUUAUCAAGAUCUUGUGGGUUGCCUUUGAAACUAGGUUCUUGUUAUGUUUGUUUAUGUCCUGAGCUUAGUGUUACUGGCCUAGAGGUAUCUCAAAAUGCCCAUCAUAAUACCUGGAACACAGUAGGUUCUUAAUAAAUGCUUGAUUGAUGGGUGAAGCAAGGAAUAACUGAUAUGUGACAGAAGAAUCCCCCAGUGGCUCCUCUGGGGUCAGCUGAAGUGUAGAAAUAUCAUCCUUAGGAGCUAUGAAACUGAGGACAAUGGAACAGAUGCAUGAGCCAUGUAGCGAGUGGCAGGUACAUGGGAAAGAUGGCCCUUUGUCUGCCAGGGGAGCUAAUAGUCAGAUAACAUGAAUGCUGGUUUCUGCACCUACCAAGUGUGAUCUUGCGUUGAAUCUGUAUCAUAUCAAAGCAACAAGAAGGAGAAUGUUUAUCAAGCAUCCUUCUGUUCCAGGCACUGAACUAGGGUCUUUACAUAUACUAUUUGCAAUCCACACAAUAGCUGCAAGGUACCCAUUAGAAUUUCAGCUUCACAGAUCAGCAAACUAAGAAUCAGAGGGCAAAGUGACUCCUUCAUGAUUUCUCUGUUUUGAAGUAGAAGAGCCAAAACUUCAUGGGAUAAAGGAAGGCUGAACCACAUCAUACCUCUCAUUCACGUUCAGGGUAAGCACCAGAAAAAUAGCACCAUUUGCCAUAGAGUUCCCUGCUUUCAUUCACUUGGCAUGUAUAGAUGCCACCUCCGGGGACUUCACAGCAUAUUAUUGGUUAAGAAACUAGCAAACCUAUUGCCAUGUCUGUGCAAGCCCAUCCCUAUUCCUAGUCCGUUAAUCAAUUGAUUGAUCAGCCAUCCACAUAGAACAUAGCCCUUUACACGGGGCACCGAAAGAGCACCAGCAAAGGGAGAGGCCUCUUUCCUGCCCACAGGAAGCUCAUGCUUUCCUGGGGACCAUGCACGGUCCUCUACCCCCACAAGAAGUAUCAAUGAACCUGUUAAAAACACUCAGAUAAAUGAUAAUUGCUAUACCGAUUUAUAUACACAGGUAUUGACUCCAUGUGAUUGAAAAGCCGCAAAGCCUUCAAACUCUGCAACUGUUUACGCAUCCCUGUGUAUAAAAAAAUCCUCAUCAGUAACUGAUUUCUGCUGUCCAAGCAGUCAUCUUAAAAAAAAAUAAAUCGAACAUUUUAUAGCCCCUUACCAAUUUCAUAGACCUCACAAACACAUUACAUACCUUGAAAAGUAACGAAGGCAGGAAUUAUUAUUGUAUCAUUUCAGAGACUUGCAUACUGAGGCGCAGAUACGUAAGGUGCUUUGCCCAAGUUCACACAGCUAGUGAGCCAAGGUCUUUCCACAAGCUUACCACUCUCUUCAUUAUCCUCCUGUCCUCAACCUCUCGCGCUCAAGUCUCUUCUCUCCAUCCGUGUGAAAUCCGCCCCUCCAAGCCCCCUGAGAAUGUCAUGACAAAUCUCUUCUUCCCCGAGAGCUUCCCAACUAGACGGCUUUCCAAGAGGUUCUUGGUCUUUUUCCCUUCCGUGUCCAGAAAGAUGAAAUGACACCCAUUCCAAGGAGCGGAGGGGUACAGCCCCCUCUUAGUGGAGUAUCUGCAGACUCUGGCUGCCCUGGCCUCGCUGGUUUGAGUUCCUUCACAUGUAGGCUCAGCGGAAGCGUGUAGCUGCUAGCCUACACCACAGCCACAGCAACAUUGGAUUGAACUUGCAUCCUCUUGGACUCUAUGUCAGGUUCCUAACCCGCUGAGCCUCAACAGGAACUCCUAGAGCUCCCCAUCUUGCAUCUUGAAUCAGAGAAUGAAAGGCCUCCUCUGAAAGGGCUCCAGACCCUUCUUUCAGAGGCAUCUUCCAUGGUCCUCUUAGCACAAGGCAAUUGGAUCUGCUUGCACCUCAAAGCUCUUCAGCCCCAACCCCCUAGCUCACCCCACCUGCAGACCAGCCACCCAGGUCUCAUCCUCUCCCGCUAUUUUCCCACACCCUGUGACCCUCUAGUGUCUUCCAGGAAAAAGGGAGACCUACCCUUCCUGAAGGAUAAACAAGAGAGAAGGAGAUGGAAAUGGGGGUGGGCUCCCUGAGAGAUUAACUGGGAAAUCCCGCACCACCUUCCUUCAGCAGCAGCUAAGCACCCACCCAGCCGUGUCUCAGAUCCUUUCUGAAGUGCAGAAAAGUUAACCGGAUUAACUAUUCUGUGGACAGGCAGAGAUUAGGACCCAAGCUCCUGGAUACUAAGGCUGACAUUCAACCCCCCGUCCAAUGGGCUCAUCUUGGAAUUCAAAACACGGACAUGCCUGGUAAAUAAGGGACCAGAACCGGGAACUGGGCCAGCAAAGCUCUCCACCCACCAGGCUCUCCGUGGGGACGGGGGGCGGGAAAGGGGCUCUUGUAACUUGUUCUCCACCAUCUCUCUUUGAGCUGAACCUGUGACAUUGAGACCAAGCCAGAUCAGCCCAUUUCAGUGGCCAUUGAACCUAGGGCCCCUGGGCCAUGCCGUCAGGCUGCACGAAUGCCUUGGAUCAACACAAUCAUAACACAGAUUCGGAAUGCAGGUUUCGAAGGCUAGAAGGUGAGUGGUGAUGGAGCUCAGAGCUUCACGCCAUGGGGACUAGAGGAGACCAGCUUGCUAACGCAUCACAGGUGCUUAGGCUUGGGGGCUCCUCUGCAGGGUAGAAGGGUCUUGAGCCCUUUUGGAGCAGGCAUUUCAUUCUCUGAUUCGAGAUUC
ensembl:lncRNA